CUCCCCCAAACCUCUGAAGAGAGGGUCCCGCCCCGCCCCGCCCCACUUUCGCCCGCGCCCCGCCCCGUCGCCGCCGGCGCUCCGCCCCGCCUGCCGAGCCCGGGCUAGCCGUCCGGCGCCCCUCAGCUCGGGAGCGCUGGCUCCACCGGCAGAGAAAUGGAUCAAUUUUGACAAGAUGUAGUACUGCAGCGUGCCUGAUGGAAUAUGUUCAGCCAUGGCAUCCGAACUUUGUAAGACGAUCUCUGUGGCAAGGCUGGAAAAGCACAAGAAUUUGUUCUUAAAUUACAGGAAUCUGCAGCAUUUCCCAUUGGAGUUACUGAAAGAUGAGGGACUACAGUACUUGGAGAGACUCUACAUGAAAAGGAACUCCCUUACAACCUUGCCAGAAAACCUUGCUCAGAAGCUUCCAAACCUUGUGGAACUGUAUCUUCACUCAAAUAACAUAGUUGUGGUUCCGGAAGCCAUUGGGUCCCUUGUGAAACUGCAAUGUUUGGAUCUUAGUGACAAUGCCUUAGAAAUCGUUUGCCCAGAAAUUGGUCGUCUGAGAGCUUUACGUCAUCUUCGGUUGGCUAAUAACCAGCUGCAGUUCCUACCUCCAGAGGUUGGCGAUUUGAAGGAGCUGCAGACACUAGACAUUUCUACCAAUCGUUUGCUAACUUUACCCGAGAGGCUUCACCUGUGCCUUUCUCUGCAGUACCUCACUGUGGACCGAAAUCGUCUAUGGUGUGUGCCGCGCCACCUCUGCCAGCUGCCCAGCCUCAAUGAGCUUUCCAUGGCUGGAAACCGUCUUGCAUUUUUGCCACUUGAUUUAGGUCGAUCUCGAGAACUUCAAUACGUGUACGUGGAUAACAACAUUCAUCUGAAAGGCUUGCCAUCCUUUCUGUACAACAAAGUCAUUGGGUGCAGUGGCUGUGGUGCUCCCAUUCAAGUUUCUGAGGUGAAGCUGCUUUCCUUUUCAUCAGGGCAACUAACCGUUUUCCUCCCUGCUGAGGUGAAGGCCAUAGGGACAGAGAAGGAUCACGUCCUGCCUCUGCAGGAGCUGGCCAUGAGGACUCUGCAUCACACCUACCACGCUUCUCUAAAAGAUCUGGACUUUCUGUCUCCAGUCUCGUUACCCAGAAGCCUGCUGGAGCUGCUGCACUGCCCCCUGGGGCACUGCCACCGGUGCAGCCAGCCCAUGUUUACGAUCGUCUACCCCAAGCUCUUUCCCUUGAGAGAGACGCCAAUGGCAGGGCUGCACCAGGGAAUGAGAGCGAGCGUGGGCAGGGUACUGCACCUCUGAGAGCCUCAGAAUGGAGCUGGAGCAGCCUGCUGGGCAGGGCAUCUGAGGAUCAGCAGACGAUGAAGGCAGACACCUGGCACAUAAUGGGUGCUCGGCAAAUGGAGGACAACUGUGAGUUUUGUGGCUUACUGCUGCUCCACCCAAUGUCUGCAGACUUUUGACCUACUGAGUUGAUAAACACUCAAGAGCCUCAGGAGUGGUGCCAGCUUGACACUGCAGUUGCCUGCAUAUCGCACACUGUGCGGCAAAGGGGUGGAGAGUCCAGCCAGGCCCAGCAGCCCUUGCGUCCUGCCACACUCGGAGACUGCAGGACUCUGGAAACGUCACGAUCGAGCUUCAGAACUGAAAUGCCUUCACCCUUCCCCCAAGUUGGAAUAUAUCCUCCCCCAAAUUAAGAA